UGUAAGUGCUUUUAACUGCUGAGC
rnacentral:miRNA from 1 species